ACCAUCUACCCCCCGGUGCCACACCACCACCCACCUCCCGCGCCCCAUCGCCUCCACCACCAUGGCACCCUAGCCUGGUCACAAGCGCCAACAUCCACAACCCCCACCAGCGCGCCACCACCACCCAUCCCCAUGCAGUGCCCCACCAACCCACCCUUCCUCGUGACGCCACCCCUCGGCCACCAAUCCACACCGCUCGCUACGGCCACCACCGCGUGUUGUCCCGACCCAAUCCACCUACUACGUCGCGGUACCUUGGUUGUGUGACGGCCCUCCCACCUGCGCCGGAACUGCUGCAUCACAACCAACCCCAGUGUCUCGCCUGGAUUCGGUUACAGGGAUGCGUGGGAUGACCACCUCUCCCCAUUCAAGAAUUCACUAGAUCCCAGUCACCGCCGAACGGUCGCGCCAUGGCUCCCCGUCGCAAAUUUUUUUGCUUGGAGUUCAUUUGAUCUUUUUUUUUAAGCCCACUGAAUUUUGUUUUGUAGUUCACCGAGAUCCAAGGCGCUCGCCGUGCCGUGCCUUGUCCUGCUACUAUGUCCGAGGUGUGGACGGACUCUACCGCAGCCGAGAACAAGUCCCUCCUCCCCUACUUCCCUCCUCAUCGCUAGGUCGUUCUCCAGGUCGCGGAGGCACGUGCGACGGAUUUGUCUCUCGCCCUUUUGUAGUGCAUACAGGCGGUGCUUCAGUGCACCUCCACACCGUUGUUGCAAUCCGUAACCUCAAAUCCGGCAAACCCUCGUGCUUGCAGUUCUUUUUUUUCUAUUGAGCACUAACAAUCCGACGGCGAGAUACUACACAUGAAUCGGCCAGUGGUGCGGUUGCUUCGGCCGUGCAGUUCAGCCCACGGGCACGUGCAGUUGACUUGCACAGACCGGUUGCUCUGUGCGAUGAAACAAUUGCUUUUUUAUUUUCCGUUUGUAGUGAUUGUUCUAUAAGAUGUUUGGGAUCCUAUUUUUAUUUGUUCAUAAAAACAGUGUUGUACAAAACACCACUUCGUCGCCUUGAGCCAUCAAGAUGUGUUGCAUGAUA